GUCUCUCUUUGGAGACAUCCGAUAAAAUUGGAACGAUACAGAGAAGAUUAGCAUGGCCCCUGCGCAAGGAUGACACACACAAAUCGAAAAAUGGUCCAUUGACCU
rnacentral:snRNA from 1 species